GACGAACGCUGGCGGCGCGCUUAACACAUGCAAGUCGAGCGAGAUCCAGGCCUUAGGGCCUGGGGACAGCGGCGAACGGGUGAGUAACACGUGGGUAAUCAACCCUCGACACUGGGAUAGCCCGGGGAAACCCGGGUUAAUACCGGAUGGCCCUUUGGAUCUUCGGAUCUGACGGGAAAGGUAGCUUCGGCCUCCGGUCGAGGACGAGCCCGCGGCGGAUUAGCUUGUUGGUGAGGUAACGGCUCACCAUGGCGACGAUCCGUAGCUGGUCUGAGAGGACGAUCCGCCACACUGGGACUGAGACACGGCCCAGACUCCUACGGGAGGCAGCAGUGGGGAAUCUUGCGCUAAUGCGGGAAACCGUGACGCAGCGACGCCGCGUGAGGGAAGAAGGCCUUCGGGUUGUAAACCUCUUUCAGGAGGGACGAAGCCACUCGGGUGAAUAGCCCAGAGGGUGACGGUACCUCCAGAAGAAGCCCCGGCUAACUACGUGCCAGCCGCCGCAGUAA
rnacentral:rRNA from 1 species